UACAGAGGUCCCAAGCGUUGUUCGGAUUCAUUGGGCGUAAAGGGUGCGUAGGCGGCGCGGUAAGUCGGGUGUGAAAUCUCGGAGCUUAACUCUGAAACUGCAUUCGAUACUGCCGUGCUUGAGGACUGGAGAGGAGACUGGAAUUUACGGUGUAGCGGUGAAAUGCGUAGAUAUCGUAAGGAAGACCAGUGGCGAAGGCGGGUCUCUGGACAGUUCCUGACGCUGAGGCACGAAGGCUAGGGGAGCAAACGGG
rnacentral:rRNA from 1 species